rnacentral:lncRNA from 1 species
AUCUCUGUCGGUGAGAAAAUGUGUGUGGAUGCUGACUUCUAGAAGACUCCAAAGCGCUUGUCUUCCCCACUCCCCAUUUCCAAAGGCUGAGACUCCUCUGCACUCCGAGUUUCCUCCCACGCUUCGUCUGAAGAGUGGGUUUUGGGGAGUGAAGGAUAGAAAAUAUCUGAAGACUCUUCCCUAUGACUUAAGACAUGAAUUUUCUUCUCAAGUCUUGAACUAAAGUCAGAAAGUGUUUGCAAGAAAUGUUCUUCUAGGUCCCACAUCCACGGGACCAGAUGAUGCCUGGCUCAAUGCAUUCCUAUCUGAAGUGGGGCAGAGAGGCUGGCAGCCUUCUUUACUAACCAGGCCUGGGAUGAGGUCAGGGGACACUGCUCCGUCACAAGGAAAUGCCCAGCUCAGUCCUCUGGAUGACCUCCCACAUCCCAGGAACAACGAAGGUCAUGUUAUCCAGAUCCCUCACAGGGUCCAAGUGCACCCCCUCUGGCUUUGCAGCUCCUCCCUCCCUCUGCUCUACAGACCAGCGACCCAUCCUGGUGAGGUCACCGAGUUGUCCUGUGUGGAGUCCGGCUCUUGUUUCCAAUGGGGAAAACAGCUUUCCUCAGAAAGUUCUACUCCCUCUGGGGAAAACGACUGAGAGGCUCUUGGCAGGGCUAUUCCCAGUUUCCUCACUAAUUACUCUGGGAUAUUCCCUCCUGAAUGAAGAAACUUCUAUAAUUUGGGUUAUAAAAGAUCUCUUUGAAUUUUC